rnacentral:lncRNA from 1 species
CACAACAAUCCCAAUGUCAGCAGUGCCACGAGAUGAGACCCUCAGCCUUGAGAAACUGGAAAAGAUGAAGAGAGGAGAAAAUGAGCAGAGGGCACUGCCUGCUUAUGUCCAUGUGCUUCUUUUCCACCUCAGAAACAACACAGCAUCUUUUGUCGUCUUUGAUGCUGCCUCUCCCGUAUUGAUUACGCUUUAUUAUUCCUGAAGACUCGGGUGUGUGACGUAAGUAACCCUAUGUCGGACCCAAGCCCAGUAGGAUAAACGAAAACGGGAGGGCAAAUUGGAACAUGUACCGUAACAACGAGAGCAUUCUUUCUAUGACUUGAAAAAGUCUUCAGAUCCUUGGUUUAAUUUAAUCAGCAAUACGUUCAUCUGCAUAUGGCAUUUAGCAGCAAAGUAAACUUUUUUUCCUGAGUCAUUUGUUUCCAAAUCAGUGGGAACAAAGGAUAUCCCAGUUCCAUUCAAGCAGCUUCAAUGAUUCUCAAACAAACGUGGGAGUCAUAGCUGAGCCAUUUAAAAUAUACAGUGAUGAGAAAGCAUACUUGGUAAUCUUGUCAACAUUCCUUUAAGGAGAAUAUCCAAGUGUCCUUUUACUAUAAUAACGCUUUGUACUUUGAAAUGUUCAGAUGUCAAUAAAAUAGAAUUGAACACAACAGCCUAGAAGAAUGCCGUUUCCAAGUUUUCUAGUAAUGGUGCUGUGAAAACAGUAUGUAUUUUUCAGUUUAACACUCCGAAAAUCAAAUUUCCUCACCCCAAGAUUGGCUCCAUUUACACAAAAGCACUUUGGACCCAUAUUUAACCAACCAUCAAAAGUGAUUCAAAAGAAGGCUAAUUGAACACUGAGGUUUUUGAAGCUCUCAAAUGAUGACCCAGGUUUUUUCUUGAAAACACUCACAGCGGCAGCUUGGCAGGAAGCAGGAAUGAAACCUGCCCUCCAAACUGGAAGAAAAACUUCCAAUAACAAACUGCGAGGUUUGAGAUCACUGCAUGUUAUAUUAUUCAUUAUUCAAAUGGCCUCUAGCCCUAUUACACAGCCUUUUCUCUGGCGUCUGAGCUGCCCCAAGAAAUGUACUUUAGUAAGACCGAGCCCCCCUUUCAGAGGAAAGGAGAACCUCCUUAUCUCCGCUUUCUGCCUCCCUGUCUCUGCGUUCUAUCUGUUCUAUCUCUGUUCCAUCUGCGUGUUUUGCAAUCUCCUCAGUGUUCCAAAGGCCAAUGAAAUCUCUCUCCCACAGGGGCCAGCGAUGGCAGACCUCAACCAAAUAAAAGUUAUGCAAAGGCAAGCUGGAAAAUCUGCACAGGGGAGAUUUCACCAAGAGGAGAGGGGCCUGAUAUUUUCCGUCUAAAUCCUUAGGCCUCACUCCAGCCUACAAAGACAAGUGGCAGGAAACUUAACAGCGAUAAUCAAAUGAGCUCAGCCAGCCUCGGGAUGGUUCUUGUAAGAACUGUGUGUGUGGAGAAGGGAUGCAGGCUUUCUGCCCAGGAGAACCUAGAGAGAAAAAACUGCUCUUCCCAAAAUCCCUGAAGUCUGCUGCCAGGGGCUCAGUACAUGCCUGACCAAAAAGAGAAAACUGCCCACCUAACCGGUUCGGCUGUUUCCUGGCUACUACGGACAGAAGCAGACAGAACCUUAUCAUUUCAGUUAUGUCUAACUUGGACAUUAUUUUCAAGUAAAUAUUGGUAAUUUCAAGGCUCUUUCCUUGCCGUGUGACCUGGCGUGACGGACAAUGCUGUCUCCGAGGAAGCUGACUCCAUAGCAACAAGCCAGGGAAGCCUGCACCUUCCACCCAGGGGGCCUCCCACGAGCAUUUUGGAGACUCGGGACUUUGCAGUUAUCUUGUCAGGGGGUGGCUGAGGGAAGAAGCUUCUUCCUUUGCCCUCUGGGCCCCUCCCAGCGGUCUGGGUUUCUGUGGAUCACUCUGUGCUUCUCAAUGAAUCCAGCGCUGGGCAUUUUUCUCUUUUCAUUCAGGAAGUGGUGAGCUGAGCCCUGAGAUUCUUUCUGCUCCGAUGAUAUAAACAAAUUGUAGAGGAAGUCAAGUCAAAUUUUCCCUUGCUGGUUUUGUUCUCCCAACUAGCAAUUCAGAAAACAGAGCCAACUUUUUUUUUUUUUUUUGGAUGCCUUUUAAAGAUUGCUGUUAACUGGAAAGACAAGAAACCCUUGUAG